rnacentral:rRNA from 13 species
UGUAGUAUCGGUGAAGAUGCCGAUUACCCGCUGUGGGACGAAAAGACCCCGUGCACCUUUACUAUAGCUUAGUAUUGGUUUUGGACAAGUAAUGUGUAGGAUAGGUGGGAGACUUCGAUCAUGUGUCGCCAGGCAUGUGUGAGUCAUUGUUGAAAUACCACCCUUUACUUAUUUGAAGUCUAACGUCUAACGACGAACAGUGCGUGGUGGGUAGUUUGACUGGGGCGGUCGCCUCCCAAAGUGUAACGGAGGCGCGCGAUGGUGGGCUCAGACCGGUCGGAAAUCGGUCGUCGAGUGCAAUGGCAUAAGCCCGCCUGACUGCGAGACUGACAAGUCGAGCAGAGUCGAAAGACGGUCAUAGUGAUCCGGUGGUCC